rnacentral:rRNA from 1 species
CGAACGGGAAACAUUUAUUGAAGCUUCGGCAGAUUUAGCUUGUUUCUAGUGGCGGACGGGCGAGUAACGCGUGGGUAACCUGCCUUAUACCGGGGGAUAACAGCCAGAAAUGGCUGCUAAUACCGCAUAAGCGCACAGAACCGCAUGGUUCCGUGUGAAAAACUCCGGUGGUAUAAGAUGGACCCGCGUUGGAUUAGCUAGUUGGCAGGGCAGCGGCCUACCAAGGCGACGAUCCAUAGCCGGCCUGAGAGGGUGAACGGCCACAUUGGGACUGAGACACGGCCCAGACUCCUACGGGAGGCAGCAGUGGGGAAUAUUGCACAAUGGGGGAAACCCUGAUGCAGCGACGCCGCGUGAAGGAAGAAGUAUCUCGGUAUGUAAACUUCUAUCAGCAGGGAAGAUAAUGACGGUACCUGACUAAGAAGCCCCGGCUAACUACGUGCCAGCAGCCGCGGUAAUACGUAGGGGGCAAGCGUUAUCCGGAUUUACUGGGUGUAAAGGGAGCGUAGACGGCGCAGCAAGUCUGAUGUGAAAGGCAGGGGCUUAACCCCUGGACUGCAUUGGAAACUGCUGUGCUUGAGUGCCGGAGGGGUAAGCGGAAUUCCUAGUGUAGCGGUGAAAUGCGUAGAUAUUAGGAGGAACACCAGUGGCGAAGGCG